UACGUAGGUGGCAAGCGUUAUCCGGAAUUAUUGGGCGUAAAGAGCUCGUAGGCGGUUCGGUAAGUCAGGUGUAAAAUCUCCACGCUCAACGUGGAGGCGCCACCUGAAACUGCCGUGACUCGAGUCCGGUAGGGGAGUGUGGAAUUCCCGGUGUGAGCGGUGAAAUGCGCAGAUAUCGGGAAGAACACCCGUGGCUAAGGCGGCUCUCUAGUACGGUACUGACGCUGAGACGCGAAAGCGUGGGGAGCGAACGAGGA
rnacentral:rRNA from 1 species